AAAGAAAGCGUAAUAGCUCACUGGUCGAGUCGGCCUGCGCGGAAGAUGUAACGGGGCUAAACCAUGCACCGAAGCUGCGGCAGCGACGCUUAUGCGUUGUUGGGUAGGGGAGCGUUCUGUAAGCCUGUGAAGGUGUACUGUGAGGUAUGCUGGAGGUAUCAGAAGUGCGAAUGCUGACAUAAGUAACGAUAAAGCGGGUGAAAAGCCCGCUCGCCGGAAGACCAAGGGUUCCUGUCCAACGUUAAUCGGGGCAGGGUGAGUCGACCCCUAAGGCG
rnacentral:rRNA from 1 species